ACGGGUGAGUAACACGUGGGCAACCUGCCUGUAAGACUGGGAUAACACCGGGAAACCGGUGCUAAUACCGGAUAAUCCUUUUCCUCUCAUGAGGAAAAGCUGAAAGUCGGUUUCGGCUGACACUUACAGAUGGGCCCGCGGCGCAUUAGCUAGUUGGUGAGGUAACGGCUCACCAAGGCGACGAUGCGUAGCCGACCUGAGAGGGUGAUCGGCCACACUGGGACUGAGACACGGCCCAGACUCCUACGGGAGGCAGCAGUAGGGAAUCUUCCACAAUGGACGAAAGUCUGAUGGAGCAACGCCGCGUGAGCGAUGAAGGCCUUCGGGUCGUAAAGCUCUGUUGUUAGGGAAGAACAAGUACCGGAGUAACUGCCGGUACCUUGACGGUACCUAACCAGAAAGCCACGGCUAACUACGUGCCAGCAGCCGCGGUAAUACGUAGGUGGCAAGCGUUGUCCGGAAUUAUUGGGCGUAAAGCGCGCGCAGGCGGUCCUUUAAGUCUGAUGUGAAAGCCCACGGCUCAACCGUGGAGGGUCAUUGGAAACUGGGGGACUUGAGUGCAGAAGAGGAAAGCGGAAUUCCA
rnacentral:rRNA from 1 species